AAAAACUCAAUUCCUAAGUUUCCGUGUACUACGUUUGACUGUCCAUCUUAUAUGAAAUUUUUUUUAUGAUUACUAUUUUUAUUGUUGUUAGAUAAUAAAACAAGAAUAAUAUUUUAUACAUGAUUUAUCUUUUUAAUUUUUUUAUAAUUUUUUUAAAUAAGACGGAUGGUUAAAUGUUAGACACAUAAGCUUAAGAAUCGAGUUAUU
rfam:Oryza sativa Japonica Group DNA, chromosome 4, cultivar: Nipponbare, complete sequence.